UGGAGUGUGAGGCCGGUCACAGCCUCCCUAUUCAUCUAUUUCUCUUAUCUAGGCCUGUGUUUCCGCCUACUAUUCUGGAGUGUGAAUUCAUUACACUUUGUGACACAAAAAGGGAAGGGGAUGGGGAAAAGGGACCAACUAACCUUACACCCAUUAAAAACCUCACCACUUUUCCACGACUUGGCUCUAUCUAAUCCUACACCAGGCCAACAAACCUGCGAGGACGAGACACUAUCAUUAAACACACCUUGUAAAUCUUCUGCAGUAAAAUCUCGUACACCCAAGUACUUCUCUGUAGCUGCCACCACAACAUAUAUUUUAUGUGAUUUACGUUCCAUUUCUGUGGUACAGUUGAUAACCAUGGCUAUGCCUCACUCUCUGUUGGCCUCAGUUUCCUCACAGGGAUCCUCUCAGGAUCUCUACCCAUCUUCCUCUCUUCACUGUCUCAGCAUACCACACCUUCUGUACUACUCUGAUCCUGGCAACUUCAGCCUGCCUUUCUCUCACUGGAAACUUCUGAUCCUCAGCAUCAUGGGUACCCCCAAAGUUAACACACAACUGUUUCCACCGAUACUGCAUAUUCUUUUGUUUCAUGCCCUCCUGCACACUUCUCACGGUCGCCUCUGUCUUCCGUAGGCUUAAACAAGCGCUAUAACAUGGAAAUAUGGCCGCCCGGCAUGGGAACUCUAAUCCUAAAAAGGUGUGUAGUCAUUUAACAUUUUUUUUUUUAAAUAAAUACUUUCUCACAGAAUUGAAAGUUAUUCCAAAUGUUUCCAAAACGGUAUCUCUUCGUGCAAGGCAUAGGCCUAUUUGCGUUUAGACAGAGCAUUUGGGAAGCGUCAUGGCAUUUCCCUCAGUUAGGUCCCAUUCCCGUUUUCUUUGUUUCCAUCAGUUUGGUUCUUUAAACGUAAACGGUUUCCGUUACAACCGCAAGACGUAAUGAAUACAACCCUGCUAAUGAACUCGGAAUGUAAGUCCGUCAUUUUAGUUGCUUUAAACCAAUAGGUCCCAUCAUUUGAAGACGUCAUUGUUAAAUACAGCCUAUACGAUAGUAUACUGAUACUGUAUUGUUUAUGAGGUUUCACCGGUGGGAGGCGCCUGAUUUAAUUUUCUCACAGGUGAGAUGCAUAAAACAGGUAAGAUGAGGAUCGACGCCACUUCUGCUUCGUUUGUCAUCGGCGUUGAGGUAUUCACAGUGCUGUAAAAUGGGUUCCAAACUUGAGAGUGCAAUGGAGGGGCUAAUUCGAGUGUUCCACUCAUACUCCUCAAAAGAAGGGGACAAGUACAAGCUGAGCAAAGUUGAGCUGAAGAAUCUGUUGCAGGGUGAACUGAGUGACUUCCUGGCGGCAAGUAAGGACCCUAUGGUAGUAGAGAAGAUCAUGAGUGAUCUGGAUGAAAACAAAGAUGGCGAGGUGGACUUUCAGGAGUUUGUCAUCUUGGUUGCUGCGCUGACCGUGGCCUGUAACGAGUUCUUUGUAGAGAGCCUGAAUGAAUGAGUUUGGAAACAGUCUGUGACCUCGGCUUUCUACUCAUUAUUCCUUGUUAAUAAAACAAACAUGUAUGCUUUAAUUUAUUUGUACUUUUUGACAGAAACCGGCAAAGGUUUCAAUAUUGUCACAAUGGUUAUUACUAACAAAGGCUCUUUUUACAACAGUCAAAUGAUUACCGCUGUAGAGAAUCCUGCAAUGGACUGACCAGUUUCAGUGUACUGUCAUUGCACUAGUAGUUAACAUUCUGCUCAGAUCAAUAAAGGUGAUUGCGGUCUAAAUAUGUUAAACUCAGCUCAUCGUAGACUUGAAUGCGCAUUACUGGUACAUGUCUUUUGCAUGUGAAAUCUGGGGCUGUAUGAAUCAAUUGUCUCAAGAGUGCUGAUUUUAGGAUCAGUUUUGCCUUUUUAGAUCAGUGAAUAAGAUUACAUGGACAGUAGGGACUUGAUCCUAGAACAGCACUUGUACUGAGACUCUUCAUGUGGCCCCUGGUCUGCUACCUAUGCUUAAACAUGGCAAACUGCACCCAACAUUAUAGUGAAGGAUUUGCACUGAAAUACAUAACCCCCUUCUGUUUGGCUAAAAACAAACAGUUCUAAACCAAGUUCCCAUGAAGCAGACUGGUGAAACUGGCUGGCUGGAUUCUAAUCAAUCUUAAUGACAUGCAAGGCUUGCUUUAAAUCCAAUUUGCAAAAGAGAAACUGCUUUAGAUCCUGUGUGACGAUGCGUCGGCAGCAACAGAACACUGCAGUCUGACAACUUAAUACUGGAGUCUGUGGCCUAAGUCUGGAUGCUUCAGUCAUGUGUUAAACACUCCCUGUAACAAACUUAUGUCACGUGUGGUGCAGACUGUAAAAUUCAAACUAUUUGUGGCUCAAUAGUUAGAGGUACAUCAAGAUACUGUCUAUGGCACAUUUGUGGUCAUGAGUCAUGGACACCAAAGUAGGAUACAACCAAUGGUAUGUGGCGACUGUUCUUAUAAAAUGUGGUUGAUCACGAUGUACUUGGUGCAACUCUUGCGGGUUGAAUAAAUCGAACAAUAGCACCACACUAGGUCUGUGGAUAAGGUUGAGACGUCUAGAGCUUGCCGGCUCAUUUUGAGUGUGCACUGAGCAACAGGUCAGGAGUUUCAUGUAUGACUGCUGCUGUGUAAAAUACAUUGGCUACGUUGGAUUAAUCCUUCAAAACUACAGGUUGAGUGUCAGCGAAUGUGUCAAUCCCUGAAAAAAAAAUCCCGAACAAUGGCAAUUACUACUGGAAACAGGCUUUGGAAAAUAACUAAGGAUUCAUCUGGUGAAGUCUAAAUACCAGUCUUCAUUCAUUUACACAAUUUGACAGAAAAGGGGCACAUUCUCUCCCUUUAAAAAGCAAUUUGGUCCAGACAUGAAUAUGAAAAAGCAAUUGCAUUACAUGUGUAUGGUUGCGUGCCCUCUACUUCUUUCCACAUUCUGUGAGGAAAUAUUAGUAAUUUGACUCUGGCCAUGUCCAAAUACCCAUACUUGCAUCCUAAAUAUUUUUAGUAUGAAACAUUUUAAAUCAAGUAUACUUUAAAUACCCGGAUGUCAUCCAUUUUAGCUUUGACAACCAGAUAUGGGGAUGUGCUACCAAAAUUAACCAAUAACAUGAAAUAAUGCAAUUGCGCAUGAUGCAUUCUCAGUAUGGGAAACGAAAGUUUUAUAGUAUGCAAUUUUCAAAAACCAAGAAUGGUUUAAAUGUUACUCAUUUCAGCUCAUCUAGUAGAAUUCAAUGCACAUUUUUCCACAGUGCAUUGGAAGAGGUGGGCUGCGAGUGAUUGGCUACUUAGAACUAGGGCCUAACAAAAUUGGGCAACUUAAUUAGGAAGAUGCCGAAUAGCGAC
rnacentral:lncRNA from 1 species